rnacentral:rRNA from 1 species
CACGUAUUUAGCCGGGGCUUCUUAGUCAAGUACCGUCAUUUUCUUCCUUGCUGAUAGAAGUUUACAUACCGAAAUACUUCAUCCUUCACGCGGCGUCGCUGCAUCAGGGUUUCCCCCAUUGUGCAAUAUUCCCUACUGCUGCCUCCCGUAGGAGUUUGGGCCGUGUCUCAGUCCCAAUGUGGCCGAUCACUCUCUCAAGUCGGCUACUGAUCGUUGCCUUGGUGGGCCGUUACCCCUCCAACUAGCUAAUCAGACGCGGGUCCAUCUUGUACCACCGGAGUUUUUCACACUGUAUCAUGCGAUACUGUGCGCUUAUGCGGUAUUAGCAGUCGUUUCCAACUGUUAUCCCCCUGUACAAGGCAGGUUACCCACGCGUUACUCACCCGUCCGCCACUCAGUCACCUCAAUUGUUUCAAUCUCUAGCAAGCUAGGUCAAUCAACGGGAGAGGUGCUUCGUUCGACUUGCAUGUAUUAAGCACGCCGCCAGCGUUCAU